rnacentral:lncRNA from 1 species
GCAGUGAGGUGGGUGACGACAUGUGGGUUUGUGAUCUUAUUACCGAAGAUGGUACGCGCUGGAGAGCGUAGAAGAUCACUCGACUUUUUGGUAGCCCUCUUACUGAUCGGUUCUCACCAUCUCGAUUCCUGUGCACCCCAAUCGGGAUGUUAGGGUGUAGGGUCAUUCAUGCUGUCUAAAGGUUCCCUCAAGGGACUUCACCCUGAUGUGCAGUCUAGC